GAUUUCUGGUUUGAUGUACCUGUCCCGCUGCGGUAACGUAUGUGUGUGACGGAGUAUGUCUGCCAUCCUUCUAGAGAAUGCAAGCUACCCUUCACUGGGCCGGUUUGUAUCAUCUAGAUCUUUUACUUUGAAAAAAUUAGAGUGUUUCAAGCAGGCGUUUUGCUAUGAAUACAUUAGCAUGGAAUAAUGAGCUAGGACUUCGGUUCUAUUUUGUUGGUUUCUAGGACUGAAGUAAUGAUUGAUAGGGACAGUUGGGGGUGCUAGUAUUCAGCGGCCAGAGGUGAAAUUCUUGGAUUCGCUGAAGACUAACUUAUGCGAAAGCAUU
rnacentral:rRNA from 1 species